rnacentral:rRNA from 1 species
GACAGAGGUGCCGAGCGUUAGGCGGAAUCACUGGGCUUAAAGCGUGUGUAGGCGGGUCGUUAAGUGCCUUGUGAAAUCCCACCGCUCACCGGUGGAACUGCUUGGCAUACUGGCGAUCUUGAGCCACUUAGGGGCAACCGGAACAAACGGUGGAGCGGUGAAAUGCGUAGAUAUCGUUUGGAACGCCAAUGGUGAAAACAGGUUGCUGGGGAUGUGCCGACGCUGAGACACGAAAGCCAGGGGAGCAAACGGG